rnacentral:tRNA from 1 species
CGGGGAUUAGCUCAGUUGGAAGAGCGCGUCGUUCGGGACGGCGAGGCCCGCGGUUCGAGUCCGCGAUCCCCGA